rnacentral:snoRNA from 1 species
AAUCCAUGUUGUGGGCAUUAAUGGAGUAAACCCUUGUAUCAUUCCCAUGCCUUUGAGGAGCAUUCUGAGUCUAGUUGUUGGAAAGUGAAUCUCAUCCCUUAGCUU